ACUUCCUUUAUUCAAUCAACAAGUAUUGAGCACCUACAAUAUGGCUGACUUUGUUUGGGGGAAGAGAGUGAGUGGUAGAACAGUAUCCAGAAUAGGCAAAAUUCCUUGACGGAGAAGCUAAACUUCUAAUACUGACCAAUGGUGUGUAUACACUUCCCUACUGCUAACACAAGUGGGUUUUGCUUGCUAACCAGAAAUGUAGACUGAUUCAGGUAGUCAGCAAUUAUUUCUCUAAUCACAAAACCACAAAGCCAGCUUCAACGAAAGCAAACACCUUUGGUAUAAUAACCUGCCAAAUUAAUUUCUGCAGAGAAUGAAGAUUAAUUCUUUCCCCCAGAAAACAUGUAUUUUGCUUUUAAGAGUCUUUGAACUGGUUUGUAGCUAAUGUGGAAAUCAGCCUGAAUGUAUCUUGCUGUGAAUCACCAAUCUAUGGCAAGGGCAGAAACACUAAUUCAGAUUAGUGACUCGCUGUUUUUGUUUUUUCUUCCUCUAUAUAGAAUUUGGUAUUCUUGUUUAGUCUGUGCAUUUAAGCAUGUGCUUUUUGGUGUAGGAAAUAAGUAUCAUAUCUGAAGAGUUAGUAAAAAUGUUAGGGCAGGAUGUGAUCCACCUUUUUAGCCAAACUUCACAAUAGAGUCCAUUGAUGUCAUGAGACUAAAGCAAAGGGAUGCUGUUAGUAGCUGU